UACGAACCGUACGAACGUUUAUUCGGAAUCACUGGGCUUAAAGGGUGCGUAGGCGGCGCGGAAAGUUGGGUGUGAAAUCCCUCGGCUCAACCGAGGAAUUGCGCCCAAAACUACCGUGCUUGAGGGAGACAGAGGUGAGCGGAACUAAGGGUGGAGCGGUGAAAUGCGUUGAUAUCCUUAGGAACACCGGUGGCGAAAGCGGCUCACUGGGUCUCUUCUGACGCUGAGGCACGAAAGCUAGGGGAGCGAACGGG
rnacentral:rRNA from 1 species